UAACAUAUAUAACGGAGUCGGCGUCGACAGCGAGUCAUUCCCGCCGACGCCGUCGCCGCCAUGUCGCCGCUAGUCUGCUCGCUGCUCGCAUUCAUCGCGCUGUUCGUCGCCGACGCCGAGUCAAAACCGAACCGUUAUUGCAGUACCCUGAAUUUGGGCAUAAAAACAAAGGACUUUAUUGAUUUUACUCUGACUGUUGCCGGUGGCAUAGUCACCGUUCCUGACAAAAGUACUAGACCAGGAAGAAAUCUAGUGGGCGAAAUGGUCAGCGUGUGCAAUGCGCCCCACUCGAAGCCUAUAAUACUUCCACGACUUCAACGUAUAUCACCUCAUAAAUACAGACCAAACUUCGGUUUGUUUAGAAUCAUCUGUCGUAGCAACAUCCCCGGCUGUAAUAAACUUGACUUUCAUGUGAGGCAGUAUUGGAAAAUGGUCACUGCACCUAAUUAAAUAUUUGAGAGACAGACAAAAUUAUAGUGAUUACAAUUGGAUUAUUGUCUCGAUUAAAAAUGUAGAAUUACAUAA